GUGUGUGUGUGUGUGUGUGUGUGUCUGUCCCUGUAUAUGUGUGUGUGUGUGUGUGUAUGUAUGUAUGUCUGUCUGUCUGUCCCUGUGUGUGAGUUAGAACGGACAAGGUAGCGCAGCGGUAAGGGGAGGCCGGUCAUGAAGAGGGUUUGGGUGUGAUGUAGGGGUUAAGGUUAGGAGGCAGGGUGCCGGGAAUAUGUG